AAGUCGUAACAAGGUUUCCGUAGGUGAACCUGCGGAAGGAUCAUUAUCCAUUGCAGUAGUGCUUCGUCUUCGAACCACUACACCGCGCUCAAAUGCUCAGUGCAAGCUUGCUCGCAUGAGAAAGCUUGCGCUUCAUUUACAAAAUCCAUGCAUGCGUUUGCAUGGUCGGGUACCUAUUUUAUGUGUGUGCGCAUGCGUACGCAUAAAAGAAGCGAUCAUUGGCCUUUUUUGUGAUCGUGUGGCGUAAAGAUUAUUCAACUACUUGAAUAACGCCCGCUUGGCUACACAACUCUUUUUAUACAAUAUUUAUUGCAUUGCUCUUAUGGUUUAUGUGUAAAAGUUGUCACGUUUUUCUAUCGGCACGAUAGAACUAGGACACCAAAACACACAUACAACCCUAUGCGGUGGAUCACUUGGCUC
rnacentral:misc_RNA from 1 species